rnacentral:rRNA from 1 species
CCGGCGCACGGGUGAGUAACACGUAUCCAACCUGCCGUCUACUCUAGGACAGCCUUCUGAAAGGAAGAUUAAUACAAGAUGGCAUCAUGAGUCCGCAUGUUCACAUGAUUAAAGGUAUUCCGGUAGACGAUGGGGAUGCGUUCCAUUAGAUAGUAGGCGGGGUAACGGCCCACCUAGUCUUCGAUGGAUAGGGGUUCUGAGAGGAAGGCCCCCCACAUUGGAACUGAGACACGGUCCAAACUCCUACGGGAGGCAGCAUG